rnacentral:rRNA from 2 species
UACGGAGGGGGUUAGCGUUGUUCGGAAUUACUGGGCGUAAAGCGUACGUAGGCGGAUUGGAAAGUUGGGGGUGAAAUCCCAGGGCUCAACCCUGGAACUGCCUCCAAAACUAUCAGUCUAGAGUUCGAGAGAGGUGAGUGGAAUUCCAAGUGUAGAGGUGAAAUUCGUAGAUAUUUGGAGGAACACCAGUGGCGAAGGCGGCUCACUGGCUCGAUACUGACGCUGAGGUACGAAAGUGUGGGGAGCAAACAGG